rnacentral:rRNA from 1 species
AUUGAACGCUGGCGGCAUGCCUUACACAUGCAAGUCGAACGGCAGCACGGGGCAACCUGGUGGCGAGUGGCGAACGGGUGAGUAAUGCAUCGGAACGUACCUUUCAGUGGGGGAUAACGUAGCGAAAGUUACGCUAAUACCGCAUAUUCUGUGAGCAGGAAAGCAGGGGAUCGCAAGACCUUUCGCUGAUUGAGCGGCCGAUGUCAGAUUAGCGAGUUGGUGAGGUAAAGGCUCACCAAGGCGACGAUCUGUAGCGGGUCUGAGAGGAUGAUCCGCCACACUGGAACUGAGACACGGUCCAGACUCCUACGGGAGGCAGCAGUGGGGAAUUUUGGACAAUGGGGGCAACCCUGAUCCAGCCAUGCCGCGUGAGUGAAGAAGGCCUUCGGGUUGUAAAGCUCUUUCGGCCGGGAAGAAAUCGCACGGGCUAAUACCCUGUGUGGAUGACGGUACCGGAAUAAGAAGCACCGGCUAACUACGUGCCAGCCGCCGCAGUAAGAC